UACGUAGGGUGCGAGCGUUGUCCGGAAUUAUUGGGCGUAAAGAGCUCGUAGGCGGUUUGUCGCGUCGACUGUGAAAACCCGAGGCUCAACCUCGGGUCUGCAUCCGAUACUGCCCGGCUAGAGGUAGGUAGGGGAGAUCGGAAUUCCUGGUGUAGCGGUGAAAUGCGCAGAUAUCAGGAGGAACACCGGUGGCGAAGGCGGAUCUCUGGGCCUUACCUGACGCUCAGGCGCGAAAGCUAGGGGAGCGAACUGG
rnacentral:rRNA from 1 species